GGAGAGAUGGCUGAGCUGGUCGAAGGCGCACGAUUGGAAAUCGUGUAGGCGUUAAUAGCGUCUCGAGGGUUCGAAUCCCUCUCUCUCCGCCA
rnacentral:tRNA from 9 species